GUGCCAACGGCAUAGCAGGGUAGCUAUAUAUGGAAGGGAUAACCGCUGAAGGCAUCUAAGCGGGAAACCCACCUGAAAACGAGUAUUCCCUAUCAGGGCCGUGGAAGACGACCACGUUGAUAGGACGGGUGUGGAAGCUCAGUAAUGAGUGAAGCUUACCGUUACUAAUAGCCCGAUUGGCUUGAUCGUUCUCAUU
rnacentral:rRNA from 1 species